GCAAAGACGGUAUAACGCGCCAAACUCCAGCGUGUUGGAUUUGCCCGUGAUUUCCUGAGCAUUUGACUCGACUGAGACGACUUGUGUUGAAGCUGAAAGCUGGUCAGAGCCAGGCAGAGUGCUCUUGAUGGAGUUCAGCCCAAAGCCAGCAGGGGCACAUGUGGGUCCAAAGGUCAGGGGGGAAACAUCCGGAACUGCUCAGAUCUGUGAAGAAGAGCAAAUCUGGCCAGCUCUGAGACCUUUGAGGAGCUACCAAGUCCAUCUCAAUGCUGUGGUAAAGCCUGCUAUUGUGGGCUGAAUGUUAAUGCUUUAACCCACCCGACUAAGAUCAGCGCUAUGCUCUCCUCUACUCUCCCCUUUGAACCACCUCGUGGCCCAUAGCUUCCACCUACCCCACCAUCCCCACCCACCGAUGGACCAGUCUGCCCUCCAGUCAUACUUAGCAUCGGGAGCCAGAGCUGGAUGGUGUGCUGGGAGCCGGAGACGGGCGGAAAGGAAGGCGGGGGGAUGUGUUCUGCUGCUUCGUCUCUCC